rnacentral:rRNA from 1 species
AGUGAACGCUGGCGGUAGGCCUAACACAUGCAAGUCGAACGGCAGCACAGUAAGAGCUUGCUCUUACGGGUGGCGAGUGGCGGACGGGUGAGGAAUACAUCGGAAUCUACUUUUUCGUGGGGGAUAACGUAGGGAAACUUACGCUAAUACCGCAUACGACCUACGGGUGAAAGCAGGGGAUCUUCGGACCUUGCGCGAUUGAAUGAGCCGAUGUCGGAUUAGCUAGUUGGCGGGGUAAAGGCCCACCAAGGCGACGAUCCGUAGCUGGUCUGAGAGGAUGAUCAGCCACACUGGAACUGAGACACGGGCCAGACUCCUACGGGAGGCAGCAGUGGGGAAUAUUGGGCAAUGGGGGCAAGCCUGGUCCAGCCAUACCGGGUGGGUGAAGAAGGGCUUCCGGUUGUAAAGCCCUUUUGUUGGGAAAGAAAAGCAGCAGGUUAAUACCCCGCUGUUCUGACGGUACCCAAAGAAUAAGCACCGGCUAACUUCGUG